CCUGUUUAGCUCAGAGCCCCAUCACAGAGGAGGCAGUGACAGCUGUGUCACCCUGCUGUCUUUGCCCUGCCCCUCCCCACCCCUGGGGCUCAUGGGCCUCCAUUAACAGGAGAGACAAGCACACCGGCUUCUCUGGCAGGCACCAAGGAGGCGAGCACGGACAUGCCCACGCAGUGCAUCUCACCUUCUCAGAGACUUCCAAAAGAGCCCCAGCCCCAGCUCAAGAGCCAAACGAAAAGGAAGAGGACAGAGUGACAAGGCCCCGGAGGUCCCUGCCCUUUCAGACGCUGUGGCAGCAGGAAAAUCAGAGCGGUUCAGACCAAGGAUUGUGCAACCCGGCCCCGGGAAGAGCCAGUGCUCUCCAAGCUGGGAGUGGGGACCUGGCCUCAGAAACAGAAUCUCACUUCAGAGGUGAGACUAGACACACUUGUAUGCCGUGCUGGCUUCUACUCUAGACUUCACACCCAGUAAGAUCCACUUUCUGGGUCAAAGUCCACCAGCAGCUGGAUCUG